UAGACAACAAGCGUGUGUCUGAUCAUUCCGGGGGCUAGCAUUUCCUGUUGUGAAUUCCCCAGCCGCUCUGGGCUGGGAACCUGAAGAGCACAUCCAAGAAGCAAAGACAGAACGAAACUGUUGGGGGGCAAAGUAAAUAAAUUCGGAGACUCGUGGGGAGCCAGUGAAACGGGUUAUUGAGUAGGCACUGAGUAAGUAAGAGGAGACACCCUCAGAUCAGGGAAGAAUUGAAGGCCAUGAUCAUUUUGAAAGUGCGUCUUUGACGAUGAUGGCAGCCUGGAGCUUGGUGCCAACUAGACCUGGUUGUGAAAGUAAAGGUCAAUAUUUAGGACAAUUUGCUGCAACACACAGACAAGAAGGUUAGGAAUUGGAUUUUCAAGUCAUUACAAGGACUGAAAGUCUAGUCACACACCUGGAAAACAACAUUGUUAGACCAAAGCAAUGCAAUGAUCCAGGACAAUUCUGAGGGACUUAUGAAAAAGAUGGUAUCCACAUCCAGAGGAAGAACUGUGGGAGCAGAAACACAGAAGAUAAACAACUGCUUGAUCACAUGGGUCAAUGGGGACAUGAUUGGGAAUAUAGACUCUAAAUGAUCACUCUAGUGCAAGCAUUAAUAAUAUGGAAAUAGGUCUUUACACAUGUAAACCCCAGUGGAAUUGUGCAUCAGCUAUAGCUGGGGACAAGGGGGGAGGGGGGUAAGGGAGGGAAAAAACAUGACACUUGUAACCAAGGAAAAAUAUUAAAAAUUAAUUAAUUAAAUAAAAUUAUCCAAAUAAAAAAAUGUAAGUACUCUUGGAAGUGCUCACAUUAACUUAAAUUUGAAAAGCAUAAAACACCAAGAUGGAGGGAAUUCUAAAGAUCUGAUAAGGACACUGAGAAUCAGAAAAGUCAAAUGUUUUCCAAGAUCAGAUGAUCCCACUGAUGGUGAAGCCAGGAUCAGAGCACAAGUUGUUUUUUGGGUUUUUUUUUGUUUGUUUGUUUACUCUCCAUCCAUUAUUCUUCCUGCUAAAUCACUUUGCUUCAUUAAAGUAAUAAA